ACGGGUGAGUAACGCGUGGGAAUCUACCCAUCUCUACGGAACAACUCCGGGAAACUGGAGCUAAUACCGUACACGUCCUUUUGGAGAAAGAUUUAUCGGAGAUGGAUGAGCCCGCGUUGGAUUAGCUAGUUGGUGGGGUAAUGGCCUACCAAGGCGACGAUCCAUAGCUGGUCUGAGAGGAUGAUCAGCCACACUGGGACUGAGACACGGCCCAGACUCCUACGGGAGGCAGCAGUGGGGAAUAUUGGACAAUGGGCGCAAGCCUGAUCCAGCCAUGCCGCGUGAGUGAUGAAGGCCCUAGGGUUGUAAAGCUCUUUCAACGGUGAAGAUAAUGACGGUAACCGUAGAAGAAGCCCCGGCUAACUUCGUGCCAGCAGCCGCGGUAAUACGAAGGGGGCUAGCGUUGUUCGGAAUUACUGGGCGUAAAGCGCACGUAGGCGGAUACUUAAGUCAGGGGUGAAAUCCCGGGGCUCAACCCCGGAACUGCCUUUGAUACUGGGUAUCUCGAGUCCGGAAGAGGUGAGUGGAAUUCCGAGUGUAGAGGUGAAAUUCGUAGA
rnacentral:rRNA from 1 species